rnacentral:rRNA from 1 species
UACAGAGACUGCAAGCGUUAUUCGGAUUCACUGGGCGUAAAGGGUGCGCAGGCGGUUGGGUGUGUCAGAUGUGAAAUCCCGAGGCUCAACCUCGGAACUGCGUCUGAAACUACUCGACUAGAGUACUGGAGAGGGUAACGGAAUUCACGGUGCAGCAGUGAAAUGCGUAGAUAUCGUGAGGAACACCAGAGGCGAAGGCGGUUACCUGGACAGUUACUGACGCUCAGGCACGAAAGCAUGGGGAGCAAAAGGG